rnacentral:rRNA from 1 species
CUCUGUGACUCCUACGGGAGGCAGCAGUGGGGAAUAUUGCACAAUGGGGGAAACCCUGAUGCAGCCAUGCCGCGUGUGUGAAGAAGGCUUCGGGUUGUAAAGCACUUUCAGUAGGGAGGAAGGUAGUGUAGUUAACACCUGCAUUAUUUGACGUUACCUACAGAAGAAGCACCGGCUAACUCCGUGCCAGCAGCCGCGGUAAUACGGAGGGUGCGAGCGUUAAUCGGAAUUACUGGGCGUAAAGCGCAUGCAGGCGGCCUGUUAAGUCAGAUGUGAAAGCCCGGGGCUUAACCUCGGAAUUGCAUUUGAAACUGGCAGGCUAGAGUCUUGUAGAGGGGGUAGAAUUUCAGGUGUAGCGGUGAAAUGCGUAGAGAUCUGAAGGAAUACCGGUGGCGAAGGCGGCCCCCUGGACAGAUACUGACACUCAGAUGCGAAAGCGUGGGUAGCGAACAGGAUUAGAUACCCUGGUAG